UACGGAGGGGACUAGCGUUGUUCGGAUUUACUGGGCGUAAAGCGCACGUAGGCGGAUCGUUAAGUCGGGGGUGAAAUCCUGGAGCUCAACUCCAGAACUGCCUUCGAUACUGGGAAGCUCGAGUCCGGGAGAGGUGAGUGGAACUGCGAGUGUAGAGGUGAAAUUCGUAGAUAUUCGCAAGAACACCAGUGGCGAAAGCGGCUUCCUGGUCCAGCACCGACGUUCAGGCACGAAAGCGUGGGGAGCAAACAGG
rnacentral:rRNA from 1 species